CAGUAGCCACGGUAAUACGGAGGGUGCAAGCGUUAAUCGGAAUUACUGGGCGUAAAGCACGCGUAGGCGGUUCGUUAAGUCUGUUGUGAAAGCCCCGGGCUCAACCUGGGAAUGGCAAUGGAUACUGGCGAGCUAGAGUGUGUCAGAGGAUGGUGGAAUUCCCGGUGUAGCGGUGAAAUGCGUAGAGAUCGGGAGGAACAUCAGUGGCGAAGGCGGCCAUCUGGGACAACACUGACGCUGAGGCACGAAAGCGUGGGGAGCACGCAGGAUUAGAUACCCGUGUAGUCCCUGUCUCUUAUAC
rnacentral:rRNA from 1 species